CAGUAGCCGCGGUAAUACAGAGGGUGCGAGCGUUAAUCGGAUUUACUGGGCGUAAAGCGUGCGUAGGCGGCUUCUUAAGUCGGAUGUGAAAUCCCUGAGCUUAACUUAGGAAUUGCAUUCGAUACUGGGAAGCUAGAGUAUGGGAGAGGAUGGUAGAAUUCCAGGUGUAGCGGUGAAAUGCGUAGAGAUCUGGAGGUAUACCGAUGGCGAAGGCAGCCAUCUGGCCUAAUACUGACGCUGAGGUACGAAAGCAUGGGGAGCAAACAGGAUUAGAUACCCCAGUAGUCCCUGUCUCUUAUAC
rnacentral:rRNA from 1 species